rnacentral:rRNA from 1 species
UACAGGGGGUGCAAACGUUGCUCGGAAUUAUUGGGCGUAAAGGGCUCGUAGGCGGUUUGUCGCGUCGGGAGUGAAAACCUUGGGCUUAACUCAGGGCUUGCUUUCGAUACGGGCAGACUAGAGGUAUGCAGGGGAGAACGGAAUUCCUGGUGUAGCGGUGAAAUGCGCAGAUAUCAGGAAGAACACCCGUGGCGAAGGCGGUUCUCUGGGACGGUACUGACGCUGAGACGCGAAAGCGUGGGGAGCGAACAGG